GUUCACUUCAACUCAAACCAAUCAUGUAACAACUUUCUUGUUGACUCAUCCAUAAUCAUUUGCUUGGGUAUAGUAAACCUAAUAAUAAAAUUCUCAAGUACAUAAUCUCAACUUCUUAUUCUAAUGGAUAUAGAUCAUUUACACCUACAACAUUCAACCAACUAAACCUUAUCUCCCUCUCGGCUCUCUCUCUCUCUCUAACCAAAGCCUUUCUCACAACAAUACCACACCUUCUUUUGAUGAUUAUUGUAAGCUUCACAAGUAAAUGGAAUCUCAAGUUAGAGUACUCACAUCCUAGUAUCUCAUCUCAUCAUCCUCUUGGAAUGUCAUAGUUGCACGCUAGCAAAUACACGUUCUUGGAACGACAUUGCGGAAUCACGCUAAGCUAGCAUUGCACAGGAAUGUCAAGGUUGCAUUUUCAAAACUAUGGAACGGUUGGAAUAGGAGAAC